GGAUGUGGCUCAAUAGGUAGCGCGCUCACCUGGCAUGUGCAGGGUGCUGGGUUCGAUCCUCAGCACCA
rnacentral:tRNA from 1 species